CUCCCUCAAAGAUGAUGAGCAGGGCAUACCGAUCUUCCUCAUGUUGAUAUGCCCAUGGCAUCGUCCUCCCUCAAAGAUGAUGAGCAGCAUUUCCUGAAAAUGGUGCUGAAGGGGAAAAUCCUCAAAGGAAACAAAAAUCUCCAUGAUGUCCCACAGAGAUUGGAGCAGUGAGGAGACAUUUCUGUGGGCACAUUGCUAAUGGGAGACUAUCCAUUGUGAUUAAAAUCAAACAGUGUAAAAAUGCUCAAUGUCCUGUAUGAGACAGUCGCUCUUUUCAAAAUGUAAGCGACUUUGUCAUGAAUCAUGGUUUAAUGCUAAAAAAGAGGAACAGUUGUUAAAUAAUCAGGUUAAAAAAAUCUAUAGACACAUCUGAGACAUAUACAUGUUUGCAAAAGUCAUUUAGUUUGCAGUAGGGCUGGGCCAUAUCAUACCGUUCACGGUAAUACCGGUAUAAUUUUGGGCAACGAUAAGAAAAUGAAAUAUUGCGAUAGAAUAUGGGUAAAACGCGCAUGCGCAGUACCUUUGUUUUCAUACGCACAUGGCGGAUAAAGCAUGGCGGAGAAUGAGAAGGGCAAAAGCGGAUCGGCAGUGCCCUUUAUAAUCCCGCGGGCCUUAUGUAUGAAUUCUGGUUGUGUUUACUGACCUUGAAACGAUUUUAUGUGGUACACGGUGCUCAAAAAUCUGUCAAAUGUUUUAGCACAACUUUGCUAAGCUAC